rnacentral:rRNA from 1 species
AACGAACGCUGGCGGCAUGCCUAACACAUGCCAGUCGAACGAGACCUUCGGGUCUAGUGGCGCACGGGUGCGUAACGCGUGGGAACCUGCCCUUAGGUUCGGAAUAACUCCCCGAAAGGGGUGCUAAUACCGGAUAAUGUCUUCGGACCAAAGAUUUAUCGCCUUUGGAUGGGCCCGCGUUGGAUUAGCUAGUUGGUAGGGUAAAAGCCUACCAAGACGACGAUCCAUAGCUGGUCUGAGAGGAUGAUCAGCCACACUGGGACUGAGACACGGCCCAGACUCCUACGGGAGGCAGCAGUGGGGAAUAUUGGACAAUGGGCGAAAGCCUGAUCCAGCAAUGCCGCGUGAGUGAUGAAGGCCUUAGGGUUGUAAAGCUCUUUUACCCGGGAUGAUAAUGACAGUACCGGGAGAAUAAGCUCCGGCUAACUCCGUG